GGGGAUGUAGCUCAGCUGGUAGAGUGCUUGCCUUGCAUGCACAAGACCCUGGGUUCAAUCCCCAGCACCACAA
rnacentral:tRNA from 1 species